rnacentral:lncRNA from 1 species
AUAAACUCAAAUUGAGCAAAACGAUCCCAUUGAGCUGGAAACGAGCUAAACAAAGCUCAGUGAGAUGCAAUUGAGCUAAUUUAGCUUGCAUGGGUGUGCAAGAAAUACUUAUGGAGCUGAUCGAAAAAUGUGCCCGGGGCGUGGUCGCAUCAUUUGGUAUCAGAGCUAGGGUAAAAUUGAGGAGUACGGACGUUCGUGAAGUUGCCGAAGUAAGGGAUCAAAAAAAAUCGAGCAAAAAAAAGAAAGAAAAAAAUUGAAAAAAAAUAAAAAUUGAAAAAAAAGGAUUUCGUGAAUUUUGAAGAUAUUUUGGUAUUAUUCAAUUGUAUUUGAAGUGAAAAAAAAUCGAAGUAUAAAAAAAAAAGAAGAAGUGAAAAGUCUUGCGAGUUUUAUUUUGUUAUCAAUUCUUGUUACUUCCGAACAUCCAUUCAUUCUACCAUUCCUUCUACCCCCCAAAAACGCCACAUACUUUGAUUUUUAUUUUCCU